GGGUUGUGAGGUUAAGCGACUAAGCGUACACGGUGGAUGCCCUGGCAGUCAGAGGCGAUGAAGGACGUGCUAAUCUGCGAUAAGCGUCGGUGAGGUGAUAUGAACCGUUAUAACCGGCGAUUUCCGAAUGGGGAAACCCAGUGUGUUUCGACACACUAUCAUUAACUGAAUCCAUAGGUUAAUGAGGCGAACCGGGGGAACUGAAACAUCUAAGUACCCCGAGGAAAAGAAAUCAACCGAGAUUCCCCCAGUAGCGGCGAGCGAACGGGGAGGAGCCCAGAGCCUGAAUCAGUGUGUGUGUUAGUGGAAGCGUCUGGAAAGGCGCGCGAUACAGGGUGACAGCCCCGUACACAAAAAUGCACAUGCUGUGAGCUCGAUGAGUAGGGCGGGACACGUGGUAUCCUGUCUGAAUAUGGGGGGACCAUCCUCCAAGGCUAAAUACUCCUGACUGACCGAUAGUGAACCAGUACCGUGAGGGAAAGGCGAAAAGAACCCCGGCGAGGGGAGUGAAAAAGAACCUGAAACCGUGUACGUACAAGCAGUGGGAGCCUCUUAAUGGGGUGACUGCGUACCUUUUGUAUAAUGGGUCAGCGACUUAUAUUCUGUAGCAAGGUUAACCGAAUAGGGGAGCCGAAGGGAAACCGAGUCUUAACUGGGCGCUAAGUUGCAGGGUAUAGACCCGAAACCCGGUGAUCUAGCCAUGGGCAGGUUGAAGGUUGGGUAACACUAACUGGAGGACCGAACCGACUAAUGUUGAAAAAUUAGCGGAUGACUUGUGGCUGGGGGUGAAAGGCCAAUCAAACCGGGAGAUAGCUGGUUCUCCCCGAAAGCUAUUUAGGUAGCGCCUCGUGAAUUCAUCUCCGGGGGUAGAGCACUGUUUCGGCAAGGGGGUCAUCCCGACUUACCAACCCGAUGCAAACUGCGAAUACCGGAGAAUGUUAUCACGGGAGACACACGGCGGGUGCUAACGUCCGUCGUGAAGAGGGAAACAACCCAGACCGCCAGCUAAGGUCCCAAAGUCAUGGUUAAGUGGGAAACGAUGUGGGAAGGCCCAGACAGCCAGGAUGUUGGCUUAGAAGCAGCCAUCAUUUAAAGAAAGCGUAAUAGCUCACUGGUCGAGUCGGCCUGCGCGGAAGAUGUAACGGGGCUAAACCAUGCACCGAAGCUGCGGCAGCGACACUAUGUGUUGUUGGGUAGGGGAGCGUUCUGUAAGCCUGUGAAGGUGGCCUGUGAGGGUUGCUGGAGGUAUCAGAAGUGCGAAUGCUGACAUAAGUAACGAUAAAGCGGGUGAAAAGCCCGCUCGCCGGAAGACCAAGGGUUCCUGUCCAACGUUAAUCGGGGCAGGGUGAGUCGACCCCUAAGGCGAGGCCGAAAGGCGUAGUCGAUGGGAAACAGGUUAAUAUUCCUGUACUUGGUGUUACUGCGAAGGGGGGACGGAGAAGGCUAUGUUGGCCGGGCGACGGUUGUCCCGGUUUAAGCGUGUAGGCUGGUUUUCCAGGCAAAUCCGGAAAACCAAGGCUGAGGCGUGAUGACGAGGCACUACGGUGCUGAAGCGACAAAUGCCCUGCUUCCAGGAAAAGCCUCUAAGCAUCAGGUAACAUCAAAUCGUACCCCAAACCGACACAGGUGGUCAGGUAGAGAAUACCAAGGCGCUUGAGAGAACUCGGGUGAAGGAACUAGGCAAAAUGGUGCCGUAACUUCGGGAGAAGGCACGCUGAUAUGUAGGUGAAGCGACUUGCUCGUGGAGCUGAAAUCAGUCGAAGAUACCAGCUGGCUGCAACUGUUUAUUAAAAACACAGCACUGUGCAAACACGAAAGUGGACGUAUACGGUGUGACGCCUGCCCGGUGCCGGAAG
rnacentral:rRNA from 1 species